UCUCUGGGUCUUGACAAGAACAUAGAAGCCUACUGAAUUCCUAUGGACUGAAUGAGAGAAAGAUGAUUAAGCGGAAGGAGACCACCUCAUCAUCUGCACUCGGAGAAGCACUGGUCCUUCUGUUAUUCCCCGUGUUUCAGGCCCGAACCAUUGGUAUUUUCUAGAGCUUCAUCAUUGAUUCCCAGCUCUUCUCUUCUUACAAAGUCUCGCAGAGUAGCUCUUCAUCCAUGCUUUUCAACAGAUGCCCAAGGACAGCAUCCUUUGUGCCAGAGUCCUGAACUGAACUUGAAGCUCUUGUUAGAACAAGGGAGGAAGCCUACCUCUAGUUCCAUCUUCACGUGAGCAUCUGCCCUCGACAGUUUACAGGAGUAGGCUGAAAAAUCAGUUCUUUUACAAUUUUAUGUAACAUCUGCCAGAAGAAACAGAAGAUUAUAAAAAUGAGACUUAUCAAAGUUCAUCUUCCAACAAAGAGGGCAAACCAUUCAGUGUCAUGGUAAUCCAAGCCUAUGCCCCA